UGUAAUGAGUACUCAGCUGACGAAUUGGCGGCCGUUAUCAACCUUUAUUGAUUUGUGACACAAAAAUUUACAAAAUAUUUCUUCCAACAUUUUAAUUAUUUGUAUUUCUGUUGAUCGGCCAUUCCAAAGUAACGGAAAAGACAUAUUGACCUUGUUUCCAAUUAAUCUCGUUGAAGAAGCAAUCUUUUUUCUUGAAACUUGGUAGGUCUUAAGGGCUCAUGAUAAAGUUGAUAUAAUGAUAUUCUAGGAGUUUGCUUCUUCAACGUGAAAAUGUCCUAAAAAUGCAAAUGGAAUGGCCGUGAUGAUAUUUUUGUGAUGAACUUCGUUUCCUUACAUAAAGAAUAAUAAUCUAUUAAGACAAAUACGAAAUCAUGAUUUGGUAAUGGACCUCGUAAAUCAAUAGAUUGACAUUGCCAACGUCCGCCUGGAAAUAUAUAACGUUUAAUCGGUACCGGCCGUUCAGGUUGAGAAACCAAUAGAUAUUUUCGACAAUUGGGCUUUUAACCCAAACGUCAGUGUCGAAGAAAAAAAAAAAAAACAGAAAAAACAAAUUUUGACAUUUCAAUUUUGAGGAAAAGUGGCUUGUAUUAUGCAUGUAUGCUUUUGUUUUCCUCAGAAUUGAUUUGAUCAGAUUGGUUGGUUUUUUCUUGUACUUCUUUAAUAAACAGUUAUGAUAGAAAAGAAAAAGACAAAGACAGAUUGCUUAAAAGCCCAAUUCUUCACAAAACUCUCAAUCUGUCCAUUGUUGGCCACCAAACUCUUACACAAUUUUGUUAUUACAAUUUAAAGUGGGUGACCCUCAUGUGGAAAUGCCCACACAUUCCAAGCCCUUAAAUUAACAGAUUUAGUUUUUUUGUUAAAAUUUUAUUAGUCUUGCCAAGGCCAAUCAAUAUUAGAUGCACAUAUUUUGGCAAAAUCUUUACUUCACGGAUUGGUAUAAGCAACCUUUGAAUUUUAGAAAGGCAACGAUCUUCGCAUCGUUAGUAACUCAAAAAGACUACUAUAUGAUGGCUGGAAAACUUAUGACUCUGUCACGCGAGACCGAAAAAAAGAUAAUUCAAGCUAUUUUUACAUAUUACACGUUUUUGCUGCAGUUGAAUUCAUAAUGUUUCAAAUAACAAGAGCCGGAAAACCUGAAACCACUAAAAACCACUAAAAGACACAAAUUGUAUCACAUAUCCUGUGGUAGAAAAUAAAAUAUAUAUAUUUACAAAUAUAAGCAAACCAAUAAAACAUAAUAAACGAUUUUCAUAAAAAUGUUUCAAUUACCUACUUAUUUAGCUAAGGAAUAAUUUCUGU